GCUCCGGGUAGCUCAGUGGCCGCAGAGCAAGUGGGCGACAACCACGAGGUCACCGGAUUGAAACCGGCUUGGAGCA